UGAGCCCGCUGUGCCAGGACGUCUGCAGGCCGCCAUCGCCUGUCCGUGGGCUGCUCUCCGCAGAGGGGUGCGGCUGCAGCCCGAAGCGGGGCCCAGGCACCGCCGUUGGGCAGGGGAGGUGGCGGUUCUGAGCUCGGGGGAGCCGCCUGGACCUCUACACCCAUCUUCUCCAGCCUCACCACCGCCCCACCCCGCCCCGACCAUGCCCUGCAGCAUUCUAGCAAAAUCCUGGAGAUAACAACCCCACGAGGAUGAGAAGCCUCCUGUCCUGGAUAAACCGAGUUCCUGGAACCUGACCAUGUCAACCUGAGUAAAUGCAUCAGGGCAAUCCAAGUCU